CGAAGGGGGCUAGCGUUGUUCGGAAUUACUGGGCGUAAAGCGCGCGCAGGCGGUUUUUCAAGUCAGUGGUGAAAGCCCGGAGCUCAACUCCGGAACUGCCAUUGAAACUGUAAAACUUGAGGAUGAGAGAGGUGAGUGGAAUUCCCAGUGUAGAGGUGAAAUUCGUAGAUAUUGGGAAGAACACCGGUGGCGAAGGCGGCUCACUGGCUCAUAUCUGACGCUCAGGCGCGACAGCGUGGGGAUCAAACAGGAUUAGAUACCCUGGUAGUCCACGCCGUAAACGAUGAAUGCUAGCCGUUGGGCAGCUUACUGUUCAGUGGCGCAGCUAACGCAUUAAGCAUUCCGCCUGGGGAGUACGGCCGCAAGGUUG
rnacentral:rRNA from 1 species